rnacentral:lncRNA from 1 species
GUUGAUCCACAUUCUUUUAUCCAUUCAUCAUUAGUUAUCCACUUGAUCAUAAACUAUUUCCAAGCGUGCCUGAAAAAAAUGUUUAAGUAUAUAAGCAUUACGUAUAAAUACGAACAAGUACAAGUUCACAAUAUAAAAUAAAAUAAAAUAAAAUAAAGAAGAGGCGUAUAAUCCAUUACAUCAAUCAACAUCAACAACUACUAUCUAACAUGAAGAAACUGCUAUCAAACCAAAUGAUGCAUAUAAAACGAAGCCUAUUGCCUAAAAUUUACCGUGUUAUUCAUACCCAAUUUAUAAUUUACACAAAGAAUCAUAAACCGAAAUUUUUACCAUCUUUCAUUAUUAAAAAAACACAGUUAAAGCUUAAACAAAAAUGAACGGGGAUAAUCAUUAUCCACACAUUAUAGAGAAGUAACAUGCUUAAAUUACCACUUCUAAUCACGUUCUCCUAGAAAUUAGAUCUUGAAGCAGAGCAAGUAAAUAAUUCUUCCUAUUCAAGAAAGCAACUUAUAAACAGUGAGGUACGUACCUUGAGCAGGGGAAUUCUUCUACCGACAGAUAGAGUAUCAACCCUACUGCACACUCACACCCGCCGCUCGCCUAAUCGUCCGCCAAGAAUCCGACGCCUUAAACAAAUCCACGCCCCUCGCAGUAACCCGAUUGGUCAAGUUCCUAUCGAUGUCCCUCACCAAAAAGCUGCCCCUUCGUGCCAUUUUCAAGGUCUGGAGAGAAUUGGGUCUGCCCGAUAACUUCGAGGACUCCGUUAUUUCGAGGAACCCCGACAUUUUCUCGCUCCGAGAUGGAAACGAGCCCAACACUCAUUACUUAUUGCUCGGCGAUACUGUACCGUUUAAAGAUUGUCUGGUUCCCGUUGUUGAGAAUUGGAGGGUCCUCGAAUG